CCCCGUAUACGAAGGUUUGAUGAGGAACUAGGCACGCGAACAAGUAGGCCGGGACACGUGAAAUCCUGGUUGAAGAUGGGUGGACCAUCAUCCAAGGCUAAAUACUACUUACUGACCGAUAGUGAACCAGUACCGUGAGGGAAAGGUGAAAAGAACCCCGGAGAGGGGAGUGAAAUAGAAUCUGAAACCGUUUGCGUACAAGCAGUGGGAGCAUGGUUUAGGCUGUGUGACUGCGUACCUUUUGUAUAAUGGGUCAGCGAGUUACUUUCAGUGGCGAGGUUAACUGCAUAAGGGAGCCGUAGAGAAAUCGAGUCUGAAUAGGGCGAUAGUCGCUGGGAGUAGACCCGAAACCGGGCGAUCUAGCCAUGUGCAGGAUGAAGGUUGGGUAACACCAACUGGAGGUCCGAACCGGGUAAUGUUGAAAAAUUAUCGGAUGACGUGUGGCUAGGAGUGAAAGGCUAAUCAAGCCCGGAGAUAGCUGGUUCUCCCCGAAAGCUAUUUAGGUAGCGCCUCGUGAAUGAUUACUGGGGGUAGAGCACUGUUUCGGCUAGGGGGCUGUCAUGGCUUACCAAACCGAUGCAAACUCCGAAUACCGGCUAAUUGGAUCACGGGAGACACACGGCGGGUGCUAACGUCCGUCGUGGAGAGGGAAACAACCCAGACCGCCAGCUAAGGUCCCCAAGUACUAGUUAAGUGGGAAACGAUGUGGGAAGGCAUAGACAGCCAGGAGGUUGGCUUAGAAGCAGCCACCCUUUAAAGAAAGCGUAAUAGCUCACUGGUCGAGUCGGCCUGCGCGGAAGAUGUAACGGGGCUAAAACUAGUCACCGAAGCUGCGGAUGUGCGCGAAGGCGCACGUGGUAGGGGAGCGUUCUGUAGGCUGAUGAAGGUGCAUUGAGAGGUGUGCUGGAGGUAUCAGAAGUGCGAAUGCUGACAUGAGUAACGAUAAUGUGGGUGAAAAGCCCACACGCCGGAAGUCCCAGGUUUCCUGCACGACGUUAAUCGGAGCAGGGUGAGUCGGCCCCUAAGGCGAGGCUGAAGAGCGUAGUCGAUGGGAACCAGGUUAAUAUUCCUGGACUUUUUAUAAGUGGUGAAGUGGGGACGAAGAAGGCUAGGUGAGCCAGGCGUUGGUUGUCCUGGUACUUGCAUGUAGGGGGGAAGACUUGGCAAAUCCGGUUUUCCGAUACUCUGAGGUGCGAAGUGGUUCUGACCUUUUGGUACAGAGAAGUCAUUGAUGCCCGGCUUCCAGGAAAAGCUGCUAGCCAUAACUUAUAGAGAACCGUACCG
rnacentral:rRNA from 1 species